rnacentral:rRNA from 1 species
UGGGGAAUAUUGGACAAUGGGGGCAACCCUGAUCCAGCAAUGCCGCGUGUGUGAAGAAGGCCUUCGGGUUGUAAAGCACUUUUAUCGGGAACGAAACAUUGUCGGCCAAUACCCGGCAAGACUGACGGUACCCGAGGAAUAAGCACCGGCUAACUCCGUGCCAGCAGCCGCGGUAAUACGUAGGGGGCAAGCGUUGUCCGGAUUUACUGGGUGUAAAGGGCGCGCAGGCGGAAUGGAAAGUCAGUGGUGAAAUCCUACAGCUUAACUGUAGAACUGCCUUUGAUACUUUCAUUCUUGAGUUCGGGAGAGAGAGACGGAAUUCCAGGUGUAGUGGUGAAAUACGUAGAUAUCUGGAGGAACACCAGUUGCGAAGGCGGUCUCUUGGUCCGAUACUGACGCUGAGGCGCGAAAGCGUGGGGAGCAAACA